rnacentral:rRNA from 1 species
CCAAUAGCGUAUAUUAAAGUUGUUGCAGUUAAAAAGCUCGUAGUUGAAUUUCGGAAUCUGUCCAUCGGUCGGGCUUCACUGUCCGUACUGGUGUGGUGGGUUCUUACCUUCUGAAUAACCAGCAUGCCAUUCACUUGGUGCGUUGGGGAAGCAGGACUAUUACCUUGAAAAAAUUAGAGUGCUCAAAGCAGGCUAGUGCCUGAAUACAUUAGCAUGGAAUAAUAAAAUAGGACGGCAUGGUUCUAUUUUGUUGGUUUCUAGGAUCACCGUAAUGAUUAAUAGGGAUAGUUGGGGGCAUUAGUAUUCAAUUGUCAGAGGUGAAAUUCUUUGAUUUAUUGAAGACUAACUUCUGCGAAAGCAUUUGCCAAGGAUGUUUUCAUUAAUCAAGAACGAAAGUUAGGGGAUCGAAGACGAUCAGAUACCGUCGUAGUCUUAACCAUAAACUAUGCCGACUAGGGAUCGGACGAUGUUAAUUUUUUAAUGACUCGUUCGGCGCCUUACG